CUGCUCUGCUCGGAGUGCUGGUGAGUAGGGUGGCUGGUAACUUUUAAUCUUUAGAGUUUUAUGAUUGCUUUUAACAGCAUGUCCUUUUUGUUUGUAGGUGGUAGACCUGCUGCUGUUUUGUUGCCCCCAUUAACUGUCGUUAUUUUUGCCUGUUUACUUUGGUUGUUUCUGCCCUUUUGAUUGGUUUCCCCCCUUACUUGGUUUGUUUCUACCUCUAAGUUUGGUUGUUUUACCCAGUUACUCCCCCAUUAGUUUGUAUUCUGUUCUUAGUUACCCUUAGUUGCUUUUCUCCUUAGUGAUUCUAGUUUUACCAACGGGGUUCGCUGUUGCUGGUUUGUUUGUUUCUUUGGUUAAUCCUUUUAUUUUAUUUCAGAAGUUGAGCCCACUAGUUUGGGAGGCUAGGCACCCCGGGUGAGGGCCCUCCACCUUUGCAUGAGUUUGACACAGGGUCACAAGACUACACCAAUUUGUUUCUUUUUUUGAAGGUUUGAAGUGUGUGUGCUGUGCUUCACUUGGUGAGUGUAAGGGAGCACUCCCCUGCACUUUCCCUCUGUAGUCUGCCUCCCUUCUGGUGGCCUCAGCUUAUUUUAAGUUAACUUGUGUAGCAAUCAAGACAACCCUUGGUGUGAGACUCACACAUUCCUCACAGGAAAGUUUCCUUAUCUGAUCCCAGGACACAGGAUAUAAAUCUUUCCAGACUUGUGUGCACUUUCAGGUUACCUAAUUGACCCGACCGGAGGUUGACUAAACCUCUGACUCUUCACGAUUGGUCGAUUCGGAGAACAGAGACAGAGUUUUUAUUACCUUUCAAACUGACUCCAUUGCUGACCAUCUAAAUAAACAUUAACGCUUCAACCCGGAUCUCCCAUUUGAGAUUUACCGGACCACUGACCUCCAGACCUCGGUCGUAAAACCCUGCUCGACCAUACACUGAUAAAGACUACAUUCCUUUGGUGAAGGAAUACAAAUGACUGAUCAUGACAUCUUAUGCAUUCAGCAAUGUACUAAUCUGUCUAAUCAUGAAAUUUGUGUUAAAAUGAGAUGUUUCCCAUUUUUCUAUGUGCUCCAGGAGCCGAGUUAUCACUCUGACAGAAUAAAUCCUUAUUCUUUUGUUUCUUUAGACCAACAGCUUUUCAGACUGUUUCAUGAACUUUUACGAGUUAAAUUUAUUGACUAUGGAUCAUAACUUUACUCUAAGUAAAAGAAAUAGUUUAGAAAUGUUUGGUUUAUAUUUUAGUUGUUAUUUAGUAUUUUUAACCAUUAGGUGGUUAUAAUGUCAUUGAAUAAUCUGAAUGUGAGUAUUUAGAAUCCAUUAUUAAUCAUGAUGAAUUUCAUUCACGUGUUUACUCUUUUGUUGUUCACAGUUUCCAUGUGUUACUAUCUGUUUCAUUUCAGAGUAAUUUAGCAUGUUCAAUGUGAUACUUAAAACAUAAUGAGAAUGUUUGAUGUGAUCCUACACUUCAUUCAUAUGUGUUUAGUAUCAAAUUAUUUAUCAUGAAACCAAGCAUUCAAUGAUAUUAAUCAUAGUGAGUGAGUAUCAGAUCUGACUCUUUUACCAGCCAAAAGUAUAAGUUAGAUCAAAUAAUCAGAGAUCCAAGGUCCUCUCUGCUUGGAGACCACACGACCCCUCCUCUGCCUCUCACACACACACACACACACACACACACACACACACACACACACACACACACACAUGCCAGAGCCACUCCCAGUGUGAGAAGAUAAAACCAGUGAAGUGGGGUUGCUCACUCUCUUGUUCAGUCUUAUCUGCUCUUCUCUUAUGCCCCGUACUCUUGUACCCUUCCUCUUCUCUCCUCUUCUUUGUUUUCUCUUAGAACUUUUCUUAGUCUUCUAAGGUUUACGCCACGUGUUGAUUCACGUUGAUUUUUCUCUAACAUCGUCUUAGUUCAAGUUAUGAAACUUCAACUUUUUGUGCGCAUAGCAAUUCAAGAUUAAGCCUUUGAUUGAUUUUUCUUUAAUUUCGCGAAGCCAUUUUUGAAAGUUUACUCUGCUCGAGUCUCGUUUUUACGAGUUAUCUGCGUGAUUUCAAAGUCACCUCUGAACGCAACCCAGCAGGCCCAGGUCAUCCUCUGUGCCAGAGUUUUUGAGUGAGACCAAAGAAGUACCCAAACGAGCAUCCACAGGAUCCACAGGCGCUGGUUUUGCUUCGGGCCUGAGUGCUGCAACUCCUGGCUCAUCCUUCGGCUGACUUCAGUCGUCUUCUGAGCUGAACCGCUCGAACCGCCAGUAGCCCCGGACUUUCGGAACCUGCUCCAUCUUCUCCAAGGACCAGUCUCACUUAAGUAUGCAAACCUCCAGAGCUCCAGACAGGGCUGAUGCUGUCUCAUGCGUUCAUAACUCAGAUAUCCACCUAUUUCUGGUGAUCUUAGAUUCCUCCAAAUCCACAUCCGAGUAUAUCUCGACACCAAAGUUAGUGUAGGUUAAUAUGUUAGCGCAUAUUCACUCACUAUCAUUAACUUUAGUGCUCCUAGCCUGACUCAGAAUCUUUAUUUAUUCACCUAUUAUUAUUUAUCCUCAUUAUCUUAUCAUCAUUUAUUGCAUGUGUGUUGUACCAUCAUUUAUCCUGUAAUAAACAGAUCAUUAUUUUUCUAAGUUCUUGUCUGUUAGUGUUCUUCCAGAAGUGGAGUCCCUGAAAUUAGAAUUUCGACUUAAGAUAUGAGACUGAUUAAUUAAAACUGACUUGAUGUUUGAUUUCUGAAUUAAACUUUUGUUUUCUUUAUUUUCCCACCAUUAAGGGUGGGUGGUGCCCCUUUCAACGAGUGCAUAAAUGUCAUAAUUUGAGAUUAUUAAUCUUCAUACAUUUAUUAUAAAUUCCAAUCGCUACAGUAUUAUUUUGGUGCGGCCUUGUGAGGCUCAUUACAAAUCGCUACACUUAGUUUGGGUUUCUUUGAUUUAGUUUAAGUUGGGUUUAUUGUACAUUUUUAACUUUUGCAGAAGGCCUUGUUUUAAAUUAUUAUAGAAAUAAAAUUAACUUUCUUGACCCUUAUCUGUGUUUUGUUAUGUUGUUUUAACUUUAUCCCUUUCUUUCCCUCCUAGGUUAAAUUUCUCUGUUAUAUUUAAGUUUAACUUCAUUUUUGAUCUAAUAAACAUUUUGAACUCUGUCUCUGCCUCUUUCAGAAUUUACCUGUGUUGCCUUAUUCUUAUUUUGGCUUCCUGUUAUGAUUUUAGUCUGAAAGUACAGUUUCCUGGGGUGCAAGUCCCCAGGUGGCGUUGCUGGUUGGAGACAAUAUCAUCUAAUUGUGAACAAA